rnacentral:rRNA from 1 species
GAGACAGUAACGCCAGUUAUUGUGGAGCCGCUGUUGGGAUACCACCCUUGCAGUAUUGGGUUUCUAACCAGCCGCCGUGACCCGGCGGUGGGACAAUGCCAGACGGGGAGUUUGACUGGGGCGGUCGCCUCCGAAAGGGUAUCGGAGGCGCCCAAAGGUUCCCUCAGAAUGGACGGAAACCAUUCGAAGAGUGCAAAGGCAGAAGGGAGCUUGACUGCGACACCGACGGGUGGAGCAGGUACGAAAGUAGGGCUUAGUGAUCCGGUGGUAUUAAGUGGGAAUGCCAUCGCUCAACGGAUAAAAGCUACCCUGGGGAUAACAGGCUUAUCACUCCCAAGAGUUCACAUCGACGGAGUGGUUUGGCACCUCGAUGUCGGCUCAUCGCAUCCUGGGGCUGUAGUAGGUCCCAAGGGUUGGGCUGUUCGCCCAUUAAAGCGGUACGCGAGCUGGGUUCAGAACGUCGUGAGACAGUUCGGUCCCUAUCCGGCGUGGGCGUAGGAUAUCUGAGAGGAGCUGUCCUUAGUACGAGAGGACCGGGAUGGACGGGCCGCUGGUGCAUCGGUUAGACUGCCAAGUCUACGGCCGAGUAGCCAAGCCCGGAAGGGAUAAACGCUGAAGGCAUCUAAGCGUGAAGCCCCCCUUAAGAUGAGAUAUCCCAUUCG